rnacentral:misc_RNA from 1 species
GAUGAAGAACGCAGCGAAAUGCGAUAAGUAAUGUGAAUUGCAGAAUUCAGUGAAUCAUCGAAUCUUUGAACGCACAUUGCGCCCGCUAGUAUUCUGGCGGGCAUGCCUGUCCGAGCGUCAUUUCAACCCUCAAGCCCCCGGGCUUGGUGUUGGGGAUCGGCGAGCCUCCGCGCCCGCCGUCCCCUAAAUCUAGUGGCGGUCUCGCUGUAGCUUCCUCUGCGUAGUAGCACACCUCGCACUGGGAAACAGCGCGGCCACGCCGUUAAACCCCCAACUUCUGAACGUUUGACCUCGGAUCAGGUAGGAAUAACCGCUGAACUUAAGCAUAUCAAUAAGCGGAGGA